rnacentral:rRNA from 1 species
CCUACGGGGGGCAGCAGUGGGGAAUAUUGCACAAUGGGGGAAACCCUGAUGCAGCGACGCCGCGUGAGUGAAGAAGUAAUUCGUUAUGUAAAGCUCUAUCAGCAGGGAAGAAAAUGACGGUACCUGAGUAAGAAGCCCCGGCUAACUACGUGUCAGCAGCCGCGGUAAUACGUAGGGGGCAAGCGUUAUCCGGAUUUACUGGGUGUAAAGGGAGCGUAGACGGCAGUGCAAGUCUGGAGUGAAAGGCGGGGGCUCAACCCCCGGACUGCUCUGGAAACUGUACGGCUGGAGUGCAGGAGAGGUAAGUGGAAUUCCUAGUGUAGCGGUGAAAUGCGUAGAUAUUAGGAGGAACACCAGUGGCGAAGGCGGCUUACUGGACUGUAACUGACGCUGAGGCACGAAAGCGUGGGGAGCGAACAGGAUUAGAUACCCCUGUAGUC